UACAUUGUUGGAAGGAGUAAUGAAACUCAUAUAAAGUUUGGUUGGCCCUGCAUUUGAAUAUAUCAAUAUGAAGUUUUAUCAUUAUCCCGAUAGUGGAAUUUUACUUUCUUUUUUACAUACCGUUGCUUUUUUUUAUAACAAAUGAAGGACCAUUAUCAGCAAAAGCUCUGCAGGCCUUCACACUUGCAGUACAUAAGACAAAAAGCACUUAAUUGGAGGCCAAGUUAUACAUUU
rnacentral:lncRNA from 1 species